AAAAUCAAUAGAACAAAGCCGUCGGUUGUCACGCCGCUUUACCUGUCGUCCCUCCCUCCCUCUAUUCAGCCCGUCUUUGCCUUAUUUUUCUUCGUACCCAAAUCGAGAAACCCUAUUCCGCGAAGAAGAACCUUCCCCUCUUCCUCCUCUGCGUCUGCUUCUGCUUCCUCAGGCGACACCGUCGUAAAUUCGCCUCUGUAUCCGCCGUAUCCGCCGGCGUCGCGUCUCCGGUGGGCUUGCGAACUGGAAUUUCAGGCGAAUCGUCAGUGGAGGAUGUUGGUAAAAGGGUUCUGCCUUUGAGAUUCGGUCGCUCUUCACCGCGUGCAUGGUGGCCUUACGCUUGUCAGUCUCAGAGACCAUGCAGGGAUUAUCCAGGUUUUCGAAUGUGCCUAAUGUUUCACUAUUUGGGUUCCAUGGAAAGUUCUCUUUCUUGUUGAAGAGCUUUAGCUUUGUGGUUUCUGAGACGUAUUUGAAGACAGAGAAUUGUCAAGUUCGAACACACUUUGGAUCUGUUUCGGCCUUUAAGUGUCAAAAUGAAAUCGUAGAGUAACAAUGGCUUGGUAGUUUCCUUGAUUCCUUAUGCUUUUCUUCAUUUCUUGUAUUGGAUGGCACUUGGAAGCUUUUUUUAGGAGCUUUUGCUCAAUGGUACUAGACUGGUAAAUACUAAUUACUGAACCUGAGAGCAAUGUGAUAGAAGAAAAAGUCUGAAUCUUUCUCUGGCAGGGACAUUGGAAUAGUGCUGCUAGUUCAUGUUUCAUAGUUUUUGGAAUCGCCAGCAGGGGGAAACUAUACAUGUAGCAAUCCGAAAUUUAGACAUUUACUCAGCUUUAUUGGUUAUAUGUCAGCUUCAAUUCGGAAUAAACCAGGUGCUCAUUGUAGUAGUUUCUUUGGUUGGAAUUAACUAAUGUACUUCCGAGUUGUAUGUGUGGGGAAUGUAUGCUUCUUUUUUGGUUGAAAAUGCCAUGGUGAAUGACUAGAGGCUUGAGUACUUGGUACUGUUCGAUCUAGGCUAGGGCCGCAGGCCGCUAGGCCAAAUGAGUUGGUCAAAACAAUGAAAUGAAAAGCAGAUUCAUUGAAGUCUUGGAUGAUGGUAAAAUGAUGAUUAUUACUUGUUUCUCUUCUACUUUUUCGUUUGAUUCUUUGCGUUCAGCUCUUAUCCGAUCUAAGCUUGUCAUCUGGGUGAGGUUGAGGGAAUUCAACCAUUAGCAGAUAAAGCAGAUUUUUUGAGACAAUAUCGAGCAAAACAGGGCGAUCUUAUAUUAAUAAAACUCCAGACAUCUUUGUAGCUCAUGAUAUGGAUUUGAUUGGCCAUGUAAGUUUCAUUCUAGCUUCUGUUAUAUCUCUUACACGGUCCAUGGGUGGCUUGAGAAUUGGUGGAGGAAGUUUGAGUAUUUAUAAGAGAGAGGUCCAAGAAAAGGCCUUGGAGAUCAUUGGAAUUUCACCAGGAGAUGUCAGAAACGGUGUUCCGGCUGGAAAUUACAGAGAAAUUACCGAUUUUGUAUUUGAUUGGUUAAGGAUGUUAAACCAUUAUUAAUAACUGUUCAGAUCUUCUGGAACCAGAAGAUGCUGAUAACAUGGUAUUCAAUUUCAAUUCAACAACUGGGUGUUGGUAUCUGACGUAUUAUUGUUCAGAUAUUUGUGAAGAAGAUCUACAAUGAUAUCAUAUCAAAAGAUGAAAUAAAAAAACGAACAUAUUCUUGAUU